rnacentral:lncRNA from 1 species
UUGCGCAAGGUAUCGAAGGGCGCUAUGUUCAAAAAUCUGAAACUAGAGCCCAAAAUUUAAAAAAAAAAUGGUAAAAAAUAGGGGGGUCGGCCUAUUCCAGGGCUUCUAGAGAAAAAUAAUGAGGGGUGUCACGGGGUAUGACUAUAUAGGUCUUGUAGAGGAGAAACAGGCGCUUCUUUUGCGCAAGGUAUCGAAGGGCGCUAUGUUCAAAAAUCUGAAACUAGAGCUCAAAAUUUGAAAAAAAAUGGUAAAAAACAGGGGGUCGGCCUAUUCCAGGGCUUCUAGAGAAAAAUAAUGAGGGGUGUCACGGGGUAUGACUAUAUAGGUCUUGUAGAGGAGAAACAGGCGCUUCUUUUGCGCAAGGUAUCAAAGGGCGCUAUGUUCAAAAAUCUGAAACUAGAGCCCAAAAUUUUAAAAAAAAAUGGUAAAAAAUAGGGGGUCGGCCUAUUCCAGGGCUUCUAGAGAAAAAUAAUGAGGGGUGUCACGGGGUAUGACUAUAUAGGUCUUGUAGAGGAGAAACAGGCGCUUCUUUUGCGCAAGGUAUCGAAGGCGCUAUGUUCAAAAAUCUGAAACUAGAGCCCAAAAUUUGAAAAAAAAAUGGUAAAAAAUAGGGGGGUCGCCCUAUUCCAGGGCUUCUAGAGAAAAAUAAUGAGGGGUGUCACGGGGUAUGACUAUAUAGGUCUUGUAGAGGAGAAACAGGCGCUUCUUUUGCGCAAGGUAUCAAAGGGCGCUAUGUUCAAAAAUCUGAAACUAGAGCUCAAAAUUUGAAAAAAAAAUGGUAAAAACAGGGGGUCGGCCUAUUCAGGGCUUCUAGAGAAAAAAUAAUGAGGGGUGUCACGGGGUAUGACUAUAUAGGUCUUGUAGAAGAGAAACAGGCACUUGUAUCGAAGGCGCUAUGUUCAAAAAUCUGAAACUAGAGCCCAAAUUUAAAAAAAAAUAGUACAAGAAUAGGGGGGUCGCCCUGUUCCAGGGCUCCUAGAGAAAAAUAAUGAGGGGUGUCGUUGGGUAUGACUAUAUAGGUCUUGUAGAGGAGAAACAGGCGCUUAACUUCUCUAGAAGCCCUGGAAUAGUGCGAUCCCCUUUUUUACCAAUUUUUUCAAAUUUUUGGCUCUAGUUUUUGAACUUACUACCCUACGAUAUUUUGCGCAAAAGAAGCGCCUGUUUCUCCUCUACAAGACCUAUAUAGUCAUACCCCGUGACAUCCCUCAUUAUUUUUCUCUAGGUUGCAUUUCUGUAAAUAUUGACAAUGCAAUUUCCCAUAGGAACUUCUUUUACGGCUAAAACUGUACCACUUUUACUAUGAAGUUUUGAAAAAAAUCUUAUCCUAGAAUUGAAAGUUCAUAUGCACCACAAUUUUUUUCAAAGGUCAAAAUAUAGGGCUGGCGCAUAUAUUAACGUUAUUGCCCUGAACUUUCAGAGUUUAAACUUACACUAAUUUUUCUUAACUACCCUACCUCGAAUAAAGGUUACCACAAAUUUCAAUGUAAACAAUAUGCACGUGUUUUUUACUGUACAUUCCAAUUCUGUCUCUGCGAUAUGGAACACAGAGAGCAUAACUGGGACCAGUAUGUAAACAAAAUGAAUUUUCUAUGAAUAUUCAAUUUACUCCCCAAAAGAGGCGUGUUUUGAGAAACAGCUGUAUUUACAAAGUGCAACCUCUAGAAGCCGUUGAAUAGGGCUACACCCCUAUUUUUUACCCUUUUUUUCAAAUUUUGGGAUCUAGUUUCAGAUUUUUGAACAUAGCGCCCUUCGAUACCUUGCGCAAAAGAAGCGCCUGUAUCUAUUCUACAAGACCUAUAUAGUCAUAGCUUGUGACACGCAUCAUUAUUUUUCUCUAGAAGCCCUGGAUUAAGACUACCCUCUUUUUUUUACCAUUUGUUUUCAAAUUUUGGGCUCUAGUUUCAGAUUUUUGAACAUAACAGCCUUCGAGAUUUCUUGCGCAAAAGAAGCGCCUGUUUAUCUUCAACAAGACUUAUAUUGUCAUACCCCGUGACACAACUUAUUAUUUUUCUCUAGAAGCUCCGGAAUAGGCCGACCCCUGUUUUUCAUCCUUUUUUUCAAAUUUUGAGCUCUAGUUUCAGAUUUUUGAAUAUAGCACCCUUUGAUACC